rnacentral:rRNA from 1 species
CCUACGGGGAGCUGCAGUGGGGAAUAUUGGACAAUGGGCGAAAGCCUGAUCCAGCCAUGCCGCGUGUGUGAAGGAGGCCUUCGGGUUGUAAAGCACUUUCAGUGGGGAAGAAAGCCUUGGGGCUAAUACCCUCGAGGAAGGACAUCACCCACAGAAGAAGCACCGGCUAACUCCGUGCCAGCAGCCGCGGUAAUACGGAGGGUGCGAGCGUUAAUCGGAAUUACUGGGCGUAAAGCGCGCGUAGGCGGUCUGAUAAGCCGGUUGUGAAAGCCCCGGGCUCAACCUGGGAACGGCAUCCGGAACUGUCAGGCUAGAGUGCAGGAGAGGAAGAUAGAAUUCCCGGUGUAGCGGUGAAAUGCGUAGAGAUCGGGAGGAAUACCAGUGGCGAAGGCGGCCUUCUGGACUGACACUGACGCUGAGGUGCGAAAGCGUGGGUAGCAAACAGGAUUAGAUACCCCAGUAGC